CAGUCAUUGGCCGCUACGAGGUGAUAGAGCAACCAGCUUUGCAACUCCAUCACUGCCGUACCCCACGCCAGCUGAUAAUUGAACAAAAAUUUAUCAGACCCAUAAAAACUAUUUGUCACAAAAAUCUGGGGGCCAAAUUGCGGAAUUUAUCGAUCAAGAGGAGAACAAAAGUCGGUAGUUACACGUAUCGAGUCUAUUGUAAAUUAAUCAACUAAAUUAACGACUAAAUGCAAACGAUUAUUGAGAGAGAAAGACGGACACGUCGAUGAUGAUUUGCGGCUACAAAGAAAUUGUAUCAACUCCGCAGGCUCCUCAUUCUCAACAGGAUAAGUAUUAUAGGUACCAAGUAUAUGUAUCUAUUGCAAUUCGUAUAUACUUAUUGUUAGACGUACAUAUGUACGCGUGUACACGGUAAAUACAUAUAUACAUUAUUUCAUCGCUACAAGAUUCCUCGUCGACACAUACUCACAAAUUGAUACGACACGACCUCGUCAUCAUCAAUUUUGUAAGAACGUUCUCUCGUAAGCCGAUGUACGUAUACUUAUAUCCGAUCGGUUCUCUCCAGUAUAAGAAGCUAUUCUUUUAACUCGAGAGGAAAAAAGAGGAUUCUACAAGAGCAGUUAUUUUUAGAAAAUUCAUAACGACGUAAUAAAAUUUUGAAACUAUUAGUUCAAUCGAAAUUGAAAUGUAUACGUACGUACGUACGUACGUACAUGUGUGUAUACGCGUAUACGCAAUAAUUACAGGCUGCACGUUUUAUUAAAUUAUAAAAAUAUACGCAAAUGUAAUGUACAGUACGAUGUGUAUAUGUAUACCUAUGUAACGCCUUGCUUUAUUCCUAGGUCUAAAAAUCAAUACUACACGCAACACUGCCUAUAUAAUAUUAUUGUACACAGAGGUGCACAAAAGUCAGGAGUACGAGUAGAAGUUUUUUACCCGUUUCUAUUUGGAAAUUUUAUCGACGUGCGCUUCCCUUGAGAUUCGAUAAGACGAUUCCGAUGUAUGUGUAUAU